rnacentral:rRNA from 1 species
UACGUAGGGUGCAAGCGUUAAUCGGAAUUACUGGGCGUAAAGCGUGCGCAGGCGGUUUUGUAAGACUGUCGUGAAAUCCCCGGGCUUAACCUGGGAAUGGCGAUGGUGACUGCAAGGCUAGAGUUUGGCAGAGGGGGGUAGAAUUUCAGGUGUAGCGGUGAAAUGCGUAGAUAUCUGAAGGAACAUCAGUGGCGAAAGCGACUUCCUGGACCAAUACUGACGCUCAUGUGCGAAAGCGUGGGGAGCAAACAGG